UAUAGAAGAGUGUCCCUAAAAAAACGUCUAGUUUCCCAGUGUCUUUUCAAACUUAAGCCACAGCAGUAUUUAUUCAAAAGAUAGAAAACAUCUAAAAGUUUAGGCCCCUCCAAAAUCUUUACCACCUGAUAUUUUCAGUUUUCACCAACUGGGCUGUAGAUGUUAUUUCUUUUAACAAACUGGAAUUUCCAAAUAGGUUAUCUGUAUUUAAAGAUGCUGAACUUUGAUAUUUUUUCCAAUACUUAAAAAAAUUGGUAUAAUUUACAUAUGAACCUUGAUUCUGAAAUUUAUUCCAUACCUGUCUCCUUUUGCGUUUUACACUGCCUAAAAAAGUAGGUUCCAAUACCCAGUUUUGAAACUAAAAUUAGUUUCAAUUUUAAAAGCCUAUAUUACCUUUAAUUCAUAUUUUCUAUUUUUCUUCAUAAUUCAACCUUUUAAAA